rnacentral:rRNA from 1 species
AUUGAACGCUGGCGGCAUGCUUUACACAUGCAAGUCGAACGGUAACAGGCCGCAAGGUGCUGACGAGUGGCGAACGGGUGAGUAAUGCAUCGGAACGUGCCCAGUCGUGGGGGAUAACGCAGCGAAAGCUGUGCUAAUACCGCAUACGAUCUAUGGAUGAAAGCGGGGGACCGUAAGGCCUCGCGCGAUUGGAGCGGCCGAUGUCAGAUUAGGUAGUUGGUGGGGUAAAGGCUCACCAAGCCAACGAUCUGUAGCUGGUCUGAGAGGACGACCAGCCACACUGGGACGGAGACACGGCCCAGACUCCUACGGGAGGCAGGAGUGGGGAAUUUUGGACAAUGGGCGCAAGCCUGAUCCAGCAAUGCCGCGUGCAGGAAGAAGGCCUUCGGGUUGUAAACUGCUUUUGUACGGAACGAAAAGGUUCUCUCUAAUACAGAGGGCUCAUGGCGGUACCGUAAGAAUAAGCACCGGCUAACUACGUGCCAGCCGCCGCCGUAACAC